rnacentral:rRNA from 1 species
UACGGGGGGGGCAAGCGUUGUUCGGAAUUACUGGGCGUAAAGGGCUCGUAGGCGGCCAACUAAGUCAGACGUGAAAUCCCUCGGCUUAACCGGGGAACUGCGUCUGAUACUGGAUGGCUUGAGGUUGGGAGAGGGAUGCGGAAUUCCAGGUGUAGCGGUGAAAUGCGUAGAUAUCUGGAGGAACACCGGUGGCGAAGGCGGCGAUCCUGGACCAAUUCUGACGCUGAGUGAGCGAAAGCCAGGGGAGCAAACGGG